UUCAAAAUAAAAAGAGCUGUUAGUUUGGAUGGCUGUGCUCUGAGGAAACACGGUGUCAUUUCAUCAGGCCAUAGCUGUCCAAAACUCGUUUCCCAACUAAAGCGGUUAAGAGGUUUUGGA
rnacentral:miRNA from 1 species